GGGAGUUUGGUCUAGUGGUAUGAUUCUCGCUUCGGGUGCGAGAGGCCGCGAGUUCGUUUCUUGGAACUCCCC
rnacentral:tRNA from 1 species